rnacentral:SRP_RNA from 1 species
UGCCGGCCCCCUCGCAACGGCUAGUUGUAAACCCCGUCAGGCCUGGAAGGGAGCAGCGGUAGCGACGAACUCGUGUGCCGGGGUGUGGUGGGUGCAG